rnacentral:rRNA from 1 species
AUUGAACGCUGGCGGCAUGCCUUACACAUGCAAGUCGAACGGUAACAGGUCUUCGGAUGCUGACGAGUGGCGAACGGGUGAGUAAUACAUCGGAACGUGCCUAGUAGUGGGGGAUAACUACUCGAAAGAGUGGCUAAUACCGCAUGAGAUCUACGGAUGAAAGCAGGGGAUCGCAAGACCUUGUGCUACUAGAGCGGCCGAUGGCAGAUUAGGUAGUUGGUGGGAUAAAAGCUUACCAAGCCGACGAUCUGUAGCUGGUCUGAGAGGACGAUCAGCCACACUGGGACUGCGACACGGCCCAGACUCCUCCGGGAGGCAGCAGUGGGGAAUUUUGGACAAUGGGCGAAAGCCUGAUCCAGCAAUGCCGCGUGCAGGAUGAAGGCCUUCGGGUUGUAAACUGCUUUUGUACGGAACGAAAAGCCCCGGGUUAAUACCCUGGGGUCAUGACGGUACCGUAAGAAUAAGCACCGGCUAACUACGUGCCAGCAGCCGCCGCCG